AGCGAACGCUGGCGGCAGGCCUAACACAUGCAAGUCGAACGAACUCUUCGGAGUUAGUGGCGGACGGGUGAGUAACACGUGGGAACGUGCCUUUAGGUUCGGAAUAACUCAGGGAAACUUGUGCUAAUACCGAAUGUGCCCUUCGGGGGAAAGAUUUAUCGCCUUUAGAGCGGCCCGCGUCUGAUUAGCUUGUUGGUGGGGUAAUGGCCCACCAAGGCUACGAUCAGUAGCUGGUCUGAGAGGAUGACCAGCCACAUUGGGACUGAGACACGGCCCAAACUCCUACGGGAGGCAGCAGUGGGGAAUCUUGCGCAAUGGGCGAAAGCCUGACGCAGCCAUGCCGCGUGUAUGAUGAAGGUCUUAGGAUUGUAAAAUACUUUCACCGGUGAAGAUAAUGACUGUAGCCGGAGAAGAAGCCCCGGCUAACUUCGUGCCAGCAGCCGCGGUAAUACGAAGGGGGCUAGCGUUGCUCGGAAUUACUGGGCGUAAAGGGAGCGUAGGCGGACAUUU
rnacentral:rRNA from 1 species